UACGUAGGGGGGCAAGCGUUGUCCGGAAUCAUUGGGCGUAAAGAGCGUGUAGGCGGCCCGGUAAGUCCGCUGUGAAAGUCCAGGGCUCAACCCUGGGAUGCCGGUGGAUACUGUCGGGCUCGAGUCCGGAAGAGGAGUGUGGAAUUCCUGGUGUAGCGGUGAAAUGCGCAGAUAUCAGGAAGAACACCAAUGGCGAAAGCAGCUCUCUGGGACGGUACUGACGGCUGAGACGCGAAAGCGUGGGGAGCGAACAGG
rnacentral:rRNA from 1 species